rnacentral:rRNA from 1 species
ACGAACGCUGGCGGCGUGCCUAAUACAUGCAAGUCGAACGGUCUUUCUAUGGAAGCUUGCUUCCACUGAGAAGAUAGUGGCGGACGGGUGAGUAACACGUGGGUAACCUGCCCAUAAGAGGGGGGAUAACAUCCGGAAACGGGUGCUAAUACCGCAUAGUUUUCUUGAUCGCAUGAUUGAGAAAGGAAAGACGGCCUUUGUGCUGUCGCUUAUGGAUGGACCCGCGGCGUAUUAGUUAGUUGGUGAGGUAAUGGCUCACCAAGACGAUGAUACGUAGCCGACCUGAGAGGGUGAUCGGCCACAUUGGGACUGAGACACGGCCCAAACUCCUACGGGAGGCAGCAGUAGGGAAUCUUCCGCAAUGGACGAAAGUCCGACGGAGCAACGCCGCGUGAGUGAAGAAGGUUUUCGGAAUCGUAAAACUCUGUUGUCAGAGAAGAACAAGUUGGAGAGUAACUGCUCCAGCCUUGACGGUAUCUGGCCAGAAAGCCACGGCUAACUACGUGCCAGCAGCAGC